GUGGCUUAGUGGUUAAAGCAUCCGCCUUAGAUGUAAGAGGUCAUGGGUUCGAUCCCCUGUCGAGUCA